rnacentral:tRNA from 1 species
GGCGGACAGGGCCGCCUCGAGGACGCGCCGGUGUCCGCCCGGCCGGGGAGGUGUUCCCGCGGCAGGGGCGGUUCGACGCCACGUUCGCUGCC